GACGAACGCUGGCGGCGUGCUUAACACAUGCAAGUCGAACGGAAAGGCCCUGCUUUUGUGGGGUGCUCGAGUGGCGAACGGGUGAGUAACACGUGAGUAACCUGCCCUUGACUUUGGGAUAACUUCAGGAAACUGGGGCUAAUACCGGAUAGGAGCUCCUGCUGCAUGGUGGGGGUUGGAAAGUUUCGGCGGUUGGGGAUGGACUCGCGGCUUAUCAGCUUGUUGGUGGGGUAGUGGCUUACCAAGGCUUUGACGGGUAGCCGGCCUGAGAGGGUGACCGGCCACGUUAGGACUGAGAUACGGCCCAGACUCCUACGGGAGGCAGCAGUGGGGAAUAUUGCACAAUGGGCGGAAGCCUGAUGCAGCAACGCCGCGUGCGGGAUGACGGCCUUCGGGUUGUAAACCGCUUUCGCCUGUGACGAAGCGUGAGUGACGGUAAUGGGUGAAGAAGCACCGGCUAACUACGUG
rnacentral:rRNA from 1 species